rnacentral:rRNA from 1 species
GACGGAGGAGGCAAGCGUUAUCCGGAAUUAUUGGGCGUAAAGCGUCCGCAGGUGGCAUUACAAGUCUGUUGUUAAAGCCCAGGGCUCAACUCUGGAUCAGCGAUGGAAACUGUAGUGCUAGAGUACGGUAGGGGUAGAGGGAAUUCCCAGUGUAGCGGUGAAAUGCGUAGAUAUUGGGAAGAACACCAGUGGCGAAGGCGCUCUGCUGGGCCGUAACUGACACUCAUGGACGAAAGCUAGGGGAGCGAAA